GGUUUGGACUAGAGUAGUAUUGGUCCUCCAGAUUCGUAAUUAAGCAUGCUUGGGCUAUAGUAGUACUAGGAUAGGUGACCUCUUGAGAAGUCCUAGUGUUGCACCCU
rnacentral:rRNA from 1 species